AAUGAUUGGGGAAGAGACUGAAAGUUGAAACCGCCAAAAAGUAUAUCUUUGAUACAUAAAUUAUGGAUAGCCGACAUUUCAAUGGUCAUUCAUUCAAAGGGUCUAUAAUGUUGUACGAAAUUAUAUAAGACAAGAUCCUCCUACAUUAAUAUGGAGAAAUGCUAUCGAAAUUGUAUCAUUGCAAUCGAACAAUAAAAAUAACUC